rnacentral:misc_RNA from 1 species
UAUGCAGAAAGAAAAGGGCUUCCGGAAACGGAAGCCCUUUUUUAUUGUCGCUCCGUUUCCAGUCUCGCGU